UACAGAGGGGGCAAGCGUUGUUCGGAAUUACUGGGCGUAAAGGGCGCGUAGGCGGCCUGUUAAGUCGAACGUGAAAUCCCUGGGCUCAACCCAUGAACUGCGUCCGAUACUGGCAGGCUUGAAUCCGGGAGAGGGAUGCGGAAUUCCAGGUGUAGCGGUGAAAUGCGUAGAUAUCUGGAGGAACACCGGUGGCGAAGGCGGCAUCCUGGACCGGCAUUGACGCUGAGGCGCGAAAGCCAGGGGAGCAAACGGG
rnacentral:rRNA from 1 species